rnacentral:rRNA from 1 species
GGACCUGAGGUCAGACGAGAUGACCCGCUGAAUUUAAGCAUAUCAGUAAGCGGAGGAAAAGAAACCAACCAGGAUUCCCUCAGUAAUGGCGAAUGAAGAGGGAGAGAGCCCAGCCUCGAAUCCGCCAGACCCAAGGCGUGCUGGUGAGGAACUGUGGGGUAAGGGACCGGCGACACGGGGACGAUGCGGGCCCCCAAGUGCUCUGGAACGUGUCCCCCAGAGAGGGUGAUAGGCCCGUCCGGGGCUGCCCCGACGGCGACGUCCUCCCCCAGUCUGCCGAUGAAUGGUCCCGAGAGUCCGGCUGCUUGGGAGUGCAGCCCAAACGCGCCCUUUGGAGGGUUGUAGGUGGUAAGCUCCAUCUAAGGCUUUAGAAAUACGGACGCGAGACCGAUAGCGAACAAGUACCGUGAGGGAAAGUUGAAAAGGACUUUGGAGAGAGGGUCAAAAGUACGUGAAACCGCCUAGAAGGAAACGAAUGGGGCCACAAAGUCUGCCCGCCGGGCACUCAGCCGCGAGAGGGUCUCUCUGUUUGGUGGGGCGCGUCUGCGGAUGGGGGAAAAAGGUAGUGGCAACACUCCGCAAAAACUCCACCCACCCUGCGCGUCUCUCGACACGCCCGUCUCCGGUGCACUUGCCCGCGGGAGAGCGCUGCGACCAGUUUCCGGGCCGCAAGAAGCCGCGGUGGGAAAGGUAGCCCACGGUGUCCUCCCUGCAGUGGGGAGACGGCACUCGAGGGGAACUUAUAGACCCACCCGACAUGGUGUGACGGCCGAGAGAGACUGCGUGUAAACUACUGAUGAUUCCGAGUGGAGUUGACUGCAAUAGGCUAGAUAGGGCGACUCGUCUGUCGCUCGAACUAAUGGCGCGAUCUGUGCUUGCCGCGAGGGGGAAGGGAAAAAAAAAAGAGAAGGGCCAAAACGGAACGAGGCCAGAGCUCUGCAUCCGUCGGGAAGGGAAAAAGGUGGGGAGGAGUCGGUAACCCUCUCCCCCCCACUCCAGACUGCUACUUGCAGUGGGGUCCUUACCCGCAUCGAGAUGGUCAAGAGUCGGAAAGAGUUGCCUCGCCUUCGAGGGGUAAAACCUCAACCUCCCCCCCCCUCAGUCCAACGACGCCGGCUAGUCGCACGGAGAAGACCGCAGCAGUAAAGGGGGAGCAGUGAGCACCGAGUCCUGCCCGAGGGGGUGGAUAGGUCGGUCCAAAGGACUCGUCGGUGGGCCUGAGAGGUGACCCUUCCUGGCACGCCCAGUCGAAGUGGAGAGGUGCUCCCCGCAGGUAGUCGUGGCGAUUCGGUUGGCCGCCCAUACGACCCGUCUUGAAACACGGACCAAGGAGUCUAACAUGUGCGCGAGUCGCAGGGCUUUGAGACGAAACCCGAAGGCGCAACGAAAGUGAAGGCGGGGGUAGGAUGCCGGCCCCCAAACCGCAGUGAAGGGUCGGCCGCACUACCGGCCCCUCCGGGCCCUCCAACGCCCAGGGGGGAGCCAGAGCGCACACGUUGGGACCCGAAAGAUGGUGAACUAUGCUUGAGCAGGCUGAAGCCAUGAGAAAUCAUGGUGGAGGGCCGAAGCCGUUCUGACGUGCAAAUCGAUGGUUGGACUUGAGUAUAGGGGCGAAAGACUAAUCGAACCAUCUAGUAGCUGGUUCCCUCCGAAGUUUCCCUCAGGAUAGCUGGCACCGUUGCGACGCAGUUUUACCCGGUAAAGCGAAUGAUUAGAGGAGCCCCUCUGGCUGGGCGCUCGGAGGCGAAACGCCUUUGACCUAUUCUCAAACUAUAAACGGGUAAGAGAGCCCGCUCGUCCUAGACGGAGCGGCAUCCGGUUAACAAUCUCUCCCCCUGGAGACUCGGUGAGGCGGGGUGGGACGGGCGUCUCUGGCUGUGGGCAGCCCACCAUCGAGGAGGCCGCACCCCUAGCCCUCGACAGGGGGGAGUGUCGGCGGCGACGGCACGGGCAGGCAGGUAGGUAGGUAGGUAGGUAGGUGGGUGGGGGGGGUGCAUGCUCUCUCUACCUUGCCUGCCCCCGGCCUUGCCUUGCCUUGCCUUGCCUUGCCUGCCGCCGGCGUUCGAAAGAAACACAAAAGCUCGGAGAGAAUGCGUGGUGCCAAGUGGGCCAAUUUUGGUAAGCAGAACUGGCGCUGUGGGAUGAACCAAACGUGGGGUUAAGGUGCCUAACGAGUCGCUCAUUAGAAACCAUGAAAGGUGUCUGUUGAUAUAGACAGCAGGACGGUGCCCAUGGAAGUUGGGACCCGCUAAGGAUCGUGUAACACCUCACAGUUGUGUGAAAAAGUUGCUCUUAAGAGCUCUUAAGAGCAAAUUUUACCCCCGGACUUGCUCUUAAGAGAGUCCGGACUGCUCUUAAGGUUCGGACUAUUGCUCUUAAGACACAACUUGCUCUUAAGCAGUUGUUGCUCUUAAGACGGACUGUACUUAAGAAACAUAGUUUCUUGGAAAAUUGCUCUUAAGAAAAUAAGUUGAAGUUUUCUUAAGAGCAAAGUUGUGUGCAAAGUUGCUCUUAAGAAAGAAAGAACUUUUUCUGAAAAUCCUUAAGUACAGUUUGCUGCACAACAAGUGUUUAAGGUUGUGUAAAGUAUUACUCUUAAGAGUUAGGGUUAGGGUUAGGGUUAGGGUUAGGGUCUCUUAAGAGCAAAAAGUUUACACAACUAGUCCGACUGCUCUUAGAAACAAAUUGCUCUUAAGAAAUAAAUAAUUUUAAUUUUUUUUUUUUUUCAGUUGAGUUGUGUCCAAAAAGUGAUCUUAAGAAAUUUUUUUUUCAAUAUGUCCAAG